rnacentral:rRNA from 1 species
CGCCUCUUGAUUUCAAUAAGAGGUCCAGCCUGCCCAGUGACUCUGUUCAACGGCCGCGGUAUCCUAACCGUGCGAAGGUAGCGUAAUCACUUGUUCUUUAAUUGUGGACUAGUAUGAAUGGCACCACGAGGGUUAUACUGUCUCCUUUUUCUAAUCAAUGAAACUAAUCUCCCCGUGAAGAAGCGGGGAUAAAAAUAUAAGACGAGAAGACCCUAUGGAGCUUUAAACAUUUUAGCAGCUACCACACAACAUGUAAUUUUCUGAACCACUUAUUUACAAGGUAACAUGACUAUAAGUUUUUGGUUGGGGUGACCACGGAGCACAAUAAAACCUCCACGCCGAAAGAUAUGACCAUCUAAGCUAAGACCCACAUGUCCAAGCAUCAGCACACUGACACUCCUUGACCCAAUACAGUUGAGCAACGAACCAAGUUACCCUAGGGAUAACAGCGCAAUCCACUUCAAGAGCCCCUAUCGACAGGUGGGUUUACGACCUCGAUGUUGGAUCAGGGUAUCCAAGUGGUGCAGCCGCUACUAAAGGUUCGUUUGUUCAACGAUUAAAACCCUACG